rnacentral:rRNA from 1 species
AACGAACGCUGCCGGAGGGCUAAAAACAUCAAAUCCAAACGCCCGGAAGGGGAGGGGCAGACGGGGGAGGAAAGGCGGGGGAACGUGCCUUCGCUUCAGGAUAGCCCCGGGGAAACUGGGGGAAAACCGGAUACCGCCGACUGGGGAAGGAUUUAUCGGCGAAGGAUCGGCCCGCGUUGGAUUAGCUAGUUGGAGGUGUAAUGGACCCCCAAGGCUACGAUCCAUAGCUGGUCUGAGAGGAUGAUCAGCCACACUGGGAAUGAGACACGGCCCAGACUCCUACGGGAGGCAGCAGUGGGGAAUCUUGGACAAUGGGCGCAAGCCUGAUCCAGCCAUGCCGCGUGAGUGAAGAAGGCCUUAGGGUUGUAAAACUCUUUCGCCGGAGAAGAUAAUGACGGUAUCCGGAGAAGAAGCCCCGGCUAACUUCGUGCCAGCAGCCGCGGUAACAC